UUUAGUUACAUAACAAACAAAGAAUUAACAGUUUCUUGGAAAUUGCAGCUCUCAGAAAUGUCAGAUUCUUCACUGGAGAUCAGGUCACAGGAAGGUGUGCCGUGCUAAGAAAUUUGAUCAUCCUGCCCAUUCGGCGAGGGGCAUUCCGGAAGAGAGGAAGGGUUUCAGAUUGGAUCACCAAGCUGAGCUCCCCGAUGGCUCUACCACAUUCAGAAGUAAAGUACAGAGGCUACACAAGAUUUUGAACGAAACGGAGGCUUCUUUAUCCUCUCACUGAGCUCUUCUCCUUCCACUAGGGCAAUCAAUCCCUCCUAGUGGAAGGAGAAGAGCUCAGUGCACAGUUCUUCAGUUGCUUUCCAUCCUAAACCAUCUCAGGGGGCAGUUGAUGCUGCUGCAAGAACUGACCUAAGAGUGAGUGAAGGCCCGCGGUCUGAGGAGCUUUUGACACUAGUACGGGCAGAGCUAGAGCAAGCAAUAGCUGAAAGAGAUGCCCUUUCUUUUUCUCGU